UACGGGGGGGGCAAGCGUUGUUCGGAAUUACUGGGCGUAAAGGGCGCGUAGGCGGCCUGCUAAGUCACACGUGAAAUCCCUCGGCUCAACCGGGGAACUGCGUGUGAUACUGGCGGGCUUGAAUUCGGGAGAGGGAUGUGGAAUUCCAGGUGUAGCGGUGAAAUGCGUAGAUAUCUGGAGGAACACCGGUGGCGAAGGCGGCAUCCUGGACCGAGAGUGACGCUGAGGCGCGAAAGCUAGGGGAGCAAACGGG
rnacentral:rRNA from 1 species